CACCUGCAGGUGCAAAACAGCAGUGGUGAGUUGUGGGGCCCACUAUAAAAGCUCCGCCGUUCAGUGCUAAGAUCCGUCAGUUGCUUCUGUGAACAUCUGCUGCUUCAUUCCACCAUGAUCCGUGCUUGCGUGCUCUUCGCAUUGGCCACUUGUGCCUUUGGUGUCUACUCCGGCUAUCCCUAUGGUUACUCUGCAGCUGCUCCCGCCGCCUAUGGAGCUUACCACGCUCCACUUGGUUCUUUGUCCUCGUAUAGCUAUGGCGUUGGCCAUGGAGCGCCAGCUUACGGCUACGGACUAGGAAGCUAUGGCCUUAGCUACGGAAGCGGCCUCGGUGGUCUAGGCUAUUCCACUCUGCUGCACAAAUGAUGAUUCAUGCAAGAAUGGGCGGAAACUGACAUUUCAAGACAUGGCAGAAAAAAUACCUUGCAAUAAACUUACUUCUGAAUGUACAAUUUCUAG